CCCUCCAUGACUGUCGGGACACCACCGUGCUCAUCUUAGAAGACUCCUUCAACAUGCUGAAUGAAAUCACCAUCUUACCUGAGGGAAAGUCGGUGCAGAUGCGGCUCAUGGCAGACACAGGAGCUGACGUGACCAUCAUCCCCCAGACUUUUGUAGCGCAGAUUUUAUCACCUGUGCGCCGGCUUUUCCCUGAGGCCAUCAUCCUGCAUUACAUGGAUGAUGUG